rnacentral:rRNA from 1 species
AUGCCGCCGCCGCCGCCGCCACCGUUCCCUCGUAUCCUGCUUGGGUUCUCCUCGAAAAGAAGGGCUACGACGACGAGCUCGACCGCGUACGCCGCCAGCGCUACGUCGGAGACAUUCGGCGGUCGCGCCGUCAAGGUGGCCUUCUACCUCGUGCCUCCGCCGGAAGUCUCCUACUUCUGCUUCCACCUCUCCAAGCUCGAGGGCGACGACGACGACUUCGACUUCCAGCCACUGUUUCUCUUUUCAGCUAAGGGUUUCGUCCUCUUUCGUUUGCUCUUCAUCAAUCGAAGCGACAGAAGCAAUCUCGUCGAGUACUUCAUGUACAAGGCAGGGGGCGGCAAACCGUCGCUCGAACCUAUCCCGUCAACUCCUCUAGGUAGCAGUUGCGAUUCGAUAUGCUUGAGCAUCGUUCCCUGCCCCGAUGACGAGGACAACUAUGUCCUUGCCGAUCUCUCUGUGGGUAGGGACCUUGGGCACUACGACCUCCACGUUUACUCGUCUAAGACGCACCAGUGGAGCACCAAGCCGUUGCAGCUGCCGGAAUCUCCUGCCGUCAGGACAAAUGACGACCUGCCUUGUCAAUUCAAUAAGGUGCUCGUGCUUGGAGCAAAUGAGUUUGGCUGGGUAGACCUCUGGCGUGGCAUUGUCACCUGCAAGGUGCUUGAUAAUGACCCAGUUCUCCGACUCAUCCCUCUCCCCAAACCUGAAAUCAACAAUCCCCAUGUAAUUGGAGGAGAUGUGGAGUUUAUCCGGGAUGUCACCUACCGCAAUGGGAUCUUCAAGUUCAUUGAGAUUGAUAAUUUUUGCAUACCAGCUAUUGCUCGUGAUGAGACUUCUAAUAUCAUUUCCAAGACGAUGCAGCAUUUUGACAGCAACGAUAUCAUACAUGAUUCAGAGCUCAUCUAUCCUGUUUUAAAGCAAGCGGAACCUAUUAUUGUCCCUGAUGGUUGGAAGAUCCAGUCAUAUUUUAGGUUUCCUUCACGGGACUAUUGGCUCAGGACCCAUGCUGUUCAUGUUGAUGACAUCUCCGAGUAUGACCCAAAGUAUUGUAAGGUGUCGCCUCAGUGGCUUGCUUUUGCUGAAAACUCGACAUUGAGGAACCUGAAAACAUAUUGCCCGACCUUUGGCAUUCAUGGUGACAGUGUUGUCUACCUUUUAGCAAAGGUGAAACCUGAAGAUUACAAGACAUGGAUUGUUGGUGUUGACAUUGAAAAGAAGAUGUUGAGACUAAUUCAACCAUAUACUUAUGCGGAAGGUGGCUAUGCUCUACCAACGUUGCUUCCCUCUACAUUCUCCUAUUAUCUGAAUAAUACAACUCCAGGUCUUUUCCCAUCCACAGAGACAAACUACUCUGAGAAUGCCCUCAAUAAUGCAACAAUCCAUGGUGAUACCUCUGUACCUGAUUUGGGUUACGAUCCACUAUCAUGUGCUGGGGAAGCCACAUCUGCACCAAGAACAUUGAAUUUCGAGGAAACCAAUCAGCCACUGAGUUCGAAUGAAUGUGGUAAUAUAGGGCAGACCAUUACACUACAGUCCCUGCAUGCCAUUUUGACCUCAUCAGGAUCAGAAUCAGGCUAUCUUCACCCGAGGAUGAAACUAUCGCUGAAGACUAAAGAAGAUGGGAAAAUAUGGCUCUCCUUGCCGUUGGGUUGCCACUUCUCAAAGCCUUCGGGGCCAGAGCUUAAGCUGUUCAACUCACUGAUAGCACACCAGUCAACGCUCCCAGCCUCGCUGAAGCACCUGGGUUUGAACAACAUUUCUUGGAGGCCGAACAUCCCCAUCUUUGGUCUGCUGUCGCCUGUAAAUGUCCUCGACUGUGGCCUACGCAAUCUUGCACAGCCCCACCAAUGA